UGCGGCGCCCGGCUCGCGCCUUCUCCGUGCUCUCUCGCUACCUACGCCACAUUUUAUUAUCACUAUAUUUUACUAUUUCUUACUACAAGAAAAAGAGCAAACCGAACGGAACGAGUACUACGUUUUUCUUUCCUUGUCCUCCUUCGAUCCCAUAUUACUACGAGACUGUUAAUUCGUCGCUUUGUGUGAGUGCUCCGUCCAGACGAACGCGCACAAACACGCGGGAAACAAGAGCUUCGAUAUUUCUUCACCGCAGUUGGAAACGCAUCGGUCGCGAAACUCGCGAAGACGAGAGAGAAAGAGCGACGCGUAGGUGUGGGCACACGCGUAUGGGACGUUCCGCAGAAAAACAAGCGCAAUUUUUAUCCGCCAGAAACAAAUAGUUUCGAGAUUCUCUUCUCAUACUCGAUGCUUCAUAACGAUAAAGAUAUCCUGGUUUCGUCGCUCCCCUUCCAUAAAUACUAGACCGAGAGGAUUUCACAGGCCGUUUCAUCUUUGAAGAAUCGUAAUUAACGGGAUUAUCGGCAGCGCUCGAUCCGUACUCUGCGGAUGUUGGAUUAAACGAAGAAGUUCGUACACCAAUGUACGAAAAAGUUUAAGAAUUAAAGAAAAAUAAAAAAGUGUGACAUCGCCUCAAAAAUAUUCAUGAUUACUUCACCAAGUUUUAUCCUCGAGAUCCCCGAGAAGUUAUUUCGUCGUUCAAAAAUCAAUUGUUGCAGCAGGUUCUGACUCUGGAUGAACAACGGACUAUCGAACAAUGAGGAUUCGCGAACCAAAGAUACUUUAUACAGUGUCCAUGCUCUUGCUGAGAAGGAAAUGAGACUCCCGUGCGCCGUUAUGCUCGAGGUUCAGUUGAGGAAAAGAGUGACGAAGGAUUGGCAGUUUACCAUAAAUUUUCCACGUGCUCGAGCUGACCUAGUCGCACUCGAAGGGAUCCUCUCGCGGGUAGGAAAGAUAGUAAAACCUCUGCAGGAGAGAAAAAAAGAAAACGAAAGAGGGCUUCGAGGACUUGGAACCCGAAUCCAGGCGAGUGAAAAAAAAAUACUUAUAUACGUGCGGAUAAAAAGAGUAAAGGGAGGGAGAGAGGGAGAGAGUCCAUUUAAAUAUCAGCAACAGGAAGCCAAUCUUCUCUAUUCGCCCGCCGGAAAUUACUUUCGACCGUGUGCGCCGUUCUCGUGUUGGCUUUAAUGUGAUCCACGUUGGCUACUCUCUCGCGUUCUCGUUGAUGCAGCGACGAUUCGAAAAAGACGAGAAAUUUAUAAUAAAAUUGAGGCUGGCCAUGAGGGAAACGAAGGGAAGGGGUGUGAACUUUUUUCAUCUCUCUUUUCCCGGCUUUUCUCGUAUCGAUGUAUACGUAUUUCCCUUAUUCCCAGAGGCUCGCCACAGCCUUUUCACUAGAGAGAUCUUUUUACUCCAUUCCAGAUAAUAAAUGCUACCGAAUUAAUG